GAGUUUGAUCCUGGCUCAGAUUGAACGCUGGCGGCAGGCCUAACACAUGCAAGUCGAGCGGAAACGAGUUAACUGAACCUUCGGGGAACGUUAACGGCGUCGAGCGGCGGACGGGUGAGUAAUGCCUGGGAAAUUGCCCUGAUGUGGGGGAUAACCAUUGGAAACGAUGGCUAAUACCGCAUAAUAGCUUCGGCUCAAAGAGGGGGACCUUAGGGCCUCUCGCGUCAGGAUAUGCCCAGGUGGGAUUAGCUAGUUGGUGAGGUAAUGGCUCACCAAGGCGACGAUCCCUAGCUGGUCUGAGAGGAUGAUCAGCCACACUGGAACUGAGACACGGUCCAGACUCCUACGGGAGGCAGCAGUGGGGAAUAUUGCACAAUGGGCGCAAGCCUGAUGCAGCCAUGCCGCGUGUAUGAAGAAGGCCUUCGGGUUGUAAAGUACUUUCAGCAGUGAGGAAGGUGGGUAUGUUAAUAGCAUACUCAUUUGACGUUAGCUGCAGAAGAAGCACCGGCUAACUCCGUGCCAGCAGCCGCGGUAAUACGGAGGGUGCGAGCGUUAAUCGGAAUUACUGGGCGUAAAGCGCAUGCAGGUGGUUUGUUAAGUUCANAUGUGAAAAGCCCGGGGGCUCAACCUCGGAAUUGCAUUUUGAAACUGGGCAAAACUAAAAGUACUGAUNGAGGGGGGGGUANNAUNU
rnacentral:rRNA from 1 species